rnacentral:rRNA from 1 species
GUGGGGAAUCUUAGACAAUGGGGGAAACCCUGAUCUAGCCAUGCCGCGUGAGCGAUGAAGGCCUUAGGGUUGUAAAGCUCUUUCAGCUGGGAAGAUAAUGACGGUACUAGCAGAAGAAGCCCCGGCUAACUCCGUGCCAGCAGCCGCGGUAAUACGGAGGGGGCUAGCGUUGUUCGGAAUUACUGGGCGUAAAGCGCACGUAGGCGGAACAGAAAGUCAGAGGUGAAAUCCCAGGGCUCAACCUUGGAACUGCCUUUGAAACUCCUGUUCUUGAGGUCGAGAGAGGUGAGUGGAAUUCCGAGUGUAGAGGUGAAAUUCGUAGAUAUUCGGAGGAACACCAGUGGCGAAGGCGGCCCCCUGGACAAAGACUGACGCUCAGGUGCGAAAGCGUGGGGAGCAAACAGGAUUAGAAACCCGGGUAGUCC